rnacentral:rRNA from 1 species
AACGAACGCUGGCGGCAUGCCUAACACAUGCAAGUCGAACGAACCCUUCGGGGUGAGUGGCGCACGGGUGCGUAACGCGUGGGAACCUGCCUUUUGGUUCGGAAUAACAGUUAGAAAUGACUGCUAAUACCGGAUAAUGUCUUCGGACCAAAGAUUUAUCGCCAUUAGAUGGGCCCGCGUAGGAUUAGCUAGUUGGUGAG